rnacentral:rRNA from 1 species
GUGGUGCACGGUUGUCGUCAGCUCGUGUUGUGAAAUGUUGGGUUAAGUCCCGCAACGAGCGCAACCCUUAUCCUUUGUUGCCAGCACGUAAUGGUGGGAACUCAAAGGAGACUGCCGGUGAUAAACCGA